UGGGGAAUAUUGGACAAUGGGCGAAAGCCUGAUCCAGCCAUGCCGCGUGUGUGAAGAAGGCCUUUUGGUUGUAAAGCACUUUAAGCGAGGAGGAGGCUACUUGGAUUAAUACUCUAGGAUAGUGGACGUUACUCGCAGAAUAAGCACCGGCUAACUCUGUGCCAGCAGCCGCGGUAAUACAGAGGGUGCGAGCGUUAAUCGGGUUUACUGGGCGUAAAGCGUGCGUAGGCGGCUUCUUAAGUCGGAUGUGAAAUCCCUGAGCUUAACUUAGGAAUUGCAUUCGAUACUGGGAAGCUGGAGUAUAGGAGAGGAUGGUAGAAUUCCAGGUGUGGCGGUGAAAUGCGUAGCGCUCUGGAGAAAUACCGAUGGCGAAGGCAGCCAUCUGGCCUAAUACUGACGCUGAGGUACGAAAGCAUGGGGAGCAAACAGG
rnacentral:rRNA from 1 species